rnacentral:lncRNA from 1 species
AAAGAGGCAUAACUGUUUCCAAAUUGAAUAAUCGUCACUCAGAUUUUGAUCCUCUGAUAUGAUAUGAAUCUAGAAUGUAAAGUUUAUAAAAAUAUAGCAAGAAUUGCACACGCCAGAGUGAUAAUAAGACCAGAUAGAUGGAUCCUUCAUUGACAGACAAUGGGCGUACAGAUUUCUAUGUCCCAAGCAAUGCUUUGGGCUGGGGGUAAAACAGUGAUAUAAAACAUAAAUAAUCUUUUAUGAAAGGUUUGUGACAUAUAACUUUU